CAUUAAGUGGCUGAAAUGUCAAGUAAUGGUCUCUUAAACCAAUCUAUAGUACAGUCACGUGUACUCUUAAUGA
rnacentral:tRNA from 1 species